UACGUAGGGGGGCUAGCGUUGUCCGGAAUCAUUGGGCGUAAAGGGCGCGUAGGCGGUCGUGACAAGUCACUUGUGAAAUCUCCGGGCUUAACUCGGAACGGUCAAGUGAUACUGUCGGACUAGAGUACAGAAGGGGGCAACUGGAAUUCUCGGUGUAGCGGUGAAAUGCGUAGAUAUCGAGAGGAACACCUGCGGCGAAGGCGGGUUGCUGGGCUGAUACUGACGCUGAGGCGCGGAAAGCCAGGGGAGCGAACGGG
rnacentral:rRNA from 1 species